GGGUGCUAUANUGCAGUCGAGCGAACAGACGAGGAGCUUGCUCCUCUGACGUUAGCGGCGGACGGGUGAGUAACACGUGGAUAACCUACCUAUAAGACUGGGAUAACUUCGGGAAACCGGAGCUAAUACCGGAUAACAUGUUGAACCGCAUGGUUCAACAGUGAAAGACGGUCUUGCUGUCACUUAUAGAUGGAUCCGCGCCGCAUUAGCUAGUUGGUAAGGUAACGGCUUACCAAGGCAACGAUGCGUAGCCGACCUGAGAGGGUGAUCGGCCACACUGGAACUGAGACACGGUCCAGACUCCUACGGGAGGCAGCAGUAGGGAAUCUUCCGCAAUGGGCGAAAGCCUGACGGAGCAACGCCGCGUGAGUGAAGAAGGUCUUCGGAUCGUAAAACUCUGUUAUUAGGGAAGAACAAUGUGUAAGUAACUAUGCACGUCUUGACGGUACCUAAUCAGAAAGCCACGGCUAACUACGUGCCAGCAGCCGCGGUAAUACGUAGGUGGCAAGCGUUAUCCGGAAUUAUUGGGCGUAAAGCGCGCGUAGGCGGUUUUUUAAGUCUGAUGUGAAAGCCCACGGCUCAACCGUGGAGGGUCAUUGGAAACUGGAAAACUUGAGUGCAGAAGAGGAAAGUGGAAUUCCAUGUGUAGCGGUGAAAUGCGCAGAGAUAUGGAGGAACACCAGUGGCGAAGGCGACUUUCUGGUCUGUAACUGACGCUGAUGUGCGAAAGCGUGGGGAUCAAACAGGAUUAGAUACCCUGGUAGUCCACGCCGUAAACGAUGAGUGCUAAGUGUUAGGGGGUUUCCGCCCCUUAGUGCUGCAGCUAACGCAUUAAGCACUCCGCCUGGGGAGUACGACCGCAAGGUUGAAACUCAAAGGAAUUGACGGGGACCCGCACAAGCGGUGGAGCAUGUGGUUUAAUUCGAAGCAACGCGAAGAACCUUACCAAAUCUUGACAUCCUCUGACCCCUCUAGAGAUAGAGUUUUCCCCUUCGGGGGACAGAGUGACAGGUGGUGCAUGGUUGUCGUCAGCUCGUGUCGUGAGAUGUUGGGUUAAGUCCCGCAACGAGCGCAACCCUUAAGCUUAGUUGCCAUCAUUAAGUUGGGCACUCUAAGUUGACUGCCGGUGACAAACCGGAGGAAGGUGGGGAUGACGUCAAAUCAUCAUGCCCCUUAUGAUUUGGGCUACACACGUGCUACAAUGGACAAUACAAAGGGUAGCGAAACCGCGAGGUCAAGCAAAUCCCAUAAAGUUGUUCUCAGUUCGGAUUGUAGUCUGCAACUCGACUACAUGAAGCUGGAAUCGCUAGUAAUCGUAGAUCAGCAUGCUAC
rnacentral:rRNA from 1 species